UAAGCAGCGUGUGUGUCAGGGAAGGAGUCUGGGAAUUAUUUGGCAGCAACACUAGUUGCUGUGUUUUCUUAGUUUUCCAGGGCCCUGACUCUGGAAUUGGAGGGAAGGUACAGGGUGGGCCUUCCCAUUCCACCCAGGUACAUACUUGGCUUUUACUACAGCAGAGGGAUACUCUGCAUAAGAAGGAAGCACAGGUGCAAUUAGAAGAGAGCAUGAUGGUGCCUGCAGCGGGAGAGCUGCAAGUCUCUCUACAAGCCCUUGUGUAAAAAGGACAAUGAAAGUAAGCCUGCUAAUAUUGGACAAUGGGGGUUUUGUUGUUUGGCCUCAAGUGGAUUUAUCAGGCCUACUUUGGACUCUGAGAAAACCAAAGGACCUUCACAAGCUGAACAGCACUACUGAGUAGACUCCUGCGCGGGUCCAUUUUUUGGAACCCGUACCCGCAACCUGCAAUCUGCAACCCGGACCCGCAACCCGCAUUCUCACCCGCUUGGACCCGCUACCCAACCCGACCUGCAAGUACCUUAUCCGCAAC